rnacentral:rRNA from 1 species
UACGGGGGGAGCAAGCGUUGUUCGGAUUUACUGGGCGUAAAGGGCGCGUAGGCGGCCACCGCAAGUCGACUGUGAAAUCUCCGGGCUUAACCCGGAAAGGUCAGCCGAUACUGCGGGGCUAGAGGACGGUAGAGGCGUGUGGAAUUCCGGGUGUAGUGGUGAAAUGCGUAGAGAUCCGGAGGAACACCAGUGGCGAAGGCGACACGGCUGGGCCGUACCUGACACUGAUGCGCGACAGCAUGGGGAGCAAACAGG